rnacentral:lncRNA from 1 species
CUAAAUUCAGAUGGCAAAUUUCACAUUUCACAAAUCAGAUAUUUCAUUUUUAAAUAUUAAAUAUUAACUAUGUAAUUUUCAUUCCAAAUCCCAACAAUUCCCCCUCCUCUCUCUCUCUCUACGUCUUGCUCACUCUACCUCUCUUCACUGGAGUUGCCAACACUGUGCAUCGUAGCCAGCUAAGCAUUGUCCAUCGCUGUAGUAGGUCGCUGCGUUACCGUUAACAGCAACGCAUCAACACCCUACCUCCGAUCUGCGUUGGGUUCGGGCACAUCAAAUGGUAGUGGCGUGGAUUUGUGGAUUCUUGAUGUUGCCGUUCACAGCACCGUAGGUUUGUUGCGAUUUUUUAUGUGGUGGUAGUCGCAACGACGGGUUGGUGGAUUCUUUAUUGAGGGUGGUGGUUGCGUGUGGUGUGAAAGGAGAUAGAGGAGAUGUUGGUAGUGGCGGUGUGUCGUGGGCUAUGUGGUGUACGAUGGUGGUGUGUUUUGGAUGUGGCGAUGGUGUUGCAGAUACUGAGGUGAUGGUGGUUCUAGUGUCCACUGUGGGUUGUGCAGUGUGUGAUGGUGGUGUGUUAUGGGCGUGGCAGUGGUGGUGUAGGUAUUGAGGUGACGAUGGUUCCAGUGUCUACUGUGGGUUGUGCGGUGUGCGAUGGUGGUGUUAUGGGUACUGUGGUGAGGUGAUGGUGGUUCUGGUGUCCGUGGUGCUUAUGGUGGGGGUCACUGUGGUGACUGGUCCUCUGUGUUGGUGGUGGCGAUAAUGGUGGUCGUGGUGUUCGUGGCGGUGGUCAUGGGUAGUAUGAGAUAGGGUUGGAUGCUUGUGACCAAUUGUUUGGUUGAUUAUGGUCAGUAAUUGGUUAAUUUGUAAUAUGUGAUCUAAAAGUUUUGUUCGUGACUCACAAAUGAUUAAUUUAUGAUCGAAAAAUUAAUCGUGACCAAUUAAUAUAAUAAUUUGCGAUGAAUAAAUAAGUUGUGAUCAAUAAAAGUUUUGAUUCU